rnacentral:rRNA from 1 species
AGCGAACGCUGGCGGCAGGCCUAACACAUGCAAGUCGAACGAACUCUUCGGAGUUAGUGGCGGACGGGUGAGUAACACGUGGGAACGUGCCUUUAGGUUCGGAAUAACUCAGGGAAACUUGUGCUAAUACCGAAUGUGCCCUUCGGGGGAAUGAUUUAUCGCCUUUAGAGCGGCCCGCGUCUGAUUAGCUAGUUGGUGAGGUAAAGGCUCACCAAGGCGACGAUCAGUAGCUGGUCUGAGAGGAUGAUCAGCCACAUUGGGACUGAGACACGGCCCAAACUCCUACGGGAGGCAGCAGUGGGGAAUCUUGCGCAAUGGGCGAAAGCCUGACGCAGCCAUGCCGCGUGAAUGAUGAAGGUCUUAGGAUUGUAAAAUUCUUUCACCGGGGACGAUAAUGACGGUACCCGGAGAAGAAGCCCCGGCUAACUUCGUG